AGUGUUUUGCAAUACACAUAUUCCUCAAGAUAACCAUGUGUAUUUACUGAAAAGAAAACCACAGUCUGAGCUAAGAAAUUUGCUGAGAUUUACAUAGUAGUAAAAAUCAGAACCCAAGUCUACCUAAGUCUAGGAGUAGCACGGAUAACCAUUUGUUUUAAUAUAACUGUGGAAGAUGGUGAUUUUUAUUUACCUUCUUAUAAUAAAUCUUUUCUCCUCAGCAUUUGAAAGCAAAUAGGAUAUAAAAUUGACGGAAAACACUUUAUCUGUGGAAGGAAAAAUAAUGUUGUCAGGAGUACACAGAGUAAGUAAGAAGAAAUAUUCUAUGAAGAAAAAGUUUGGAAAAAAUGAGACACGAAAUUGAGGAAAGUUUAGGACUCAUGGUCAAUCAUCUUUGGAUCAGCAACAUUAAAUUAUUAAUUCAAGAAUACAAGGGCCAGUACAAGUUUCCUUGACUUUUUUGCAGGGACUUCGCCUGCUCUCACAAAAAAGAUUGAUGAGGAUUCUGAAAAAGCAUACUUAAUGGUGCAGACCCCAAGAAGCGAAGAGCAGGCCGUGGAGGACAUGCCUGAUGCCCUGUGCAGAUCUUCGUUUAUCUCCCCCAAAGAACAAGAGCCCUAAACCAUAGAUAGGCUAACAAGCAUUGAGUAACUUGUAACAGUGGAAUGUUGUUGGGAGAAUGGUAAGAAUGUGGAAAGAGAAAGAGAUCCUAUCUGAGCCACAGGAGAAAACAGAUAUUGAGUCUCCAUUGUGAAGCAAGUUAUCUCCAGAAGAAGUUAAAUUCUUCUUUAUGUUGAUUGCAACCACUGCAACAGGAAAUCUCAAACCUGACUCAACUCCUUUCCUAGAUUGACAAUAUUCCUGAAAAUAAAGGUCUAGGAUAAGGAAAGGUAUGCCCGUAUAUACAUAUAGAAACUUUGUCUCAGUUUCUACUUCCAUAGAAUUGUUCAACUUUGAACAAAAAAUUACAAGGCAAACAAAGAGGCAAGAAAAAACAAACAACAACAAAAAACUACAAAGAGAAAAAUAAAUAAAUCAAUAAAAUCAAACUCAGAUAUGAUAGUGAACUCUCAGAAAGAAAAAUGGAAAUAGCUAUGAUUAAUAUGUUGAAGGCUAUAAAGAAAAAGACAGUCAACAAAUAUGAACAGAGAGUCAUAUUUAUUUUUUGCAGUGCUGGGGAUCAAACCCAGGGCCUUGUGCAUGUGAGGCAUCCACUCUACCAACUGAGCUAUAUCCCCAGUCCAAGGUGUUAGAAAUGAAAGGCACAGUAAUGGAGAUAAUUAAUAUUCAAGGGCUUAUUGCCAUGGCUGAGGAAAGAAUUAUUCAGCUUGAAGAUAGGUAAAUAGUCAUUACCCUAACCGAAGAACAAAGAGAACAAAACCAUACUUCUCAUUUAUUGUUAGUGAAAAUACAAAAUGACACAACCAUUUUGGAAUAUGGUUUAGUCGUUUCUUGUAGAGUUAAGGAUGGCACUUACCAUAUGAUCCACGAAUAUUACUAUGAGCAAUUAAUUACCCAAAGGAAAUAAAAAUGCAUGUUCACACAAAAACUUAGACAUAAAUAUUUGUAACAGCUUUAUUCUUAAAUGCAAAAGAAAUUGGAAAAAAAUUUGAAAGCCUUUUAAUGGUGAAUAAACAAACUAUGGUACAUCCCUGUGAUGGAACACUGUUUGACUAGAAAGAAGAACCAAUUUGAGAGAUACAAGUAACAUGGUUAAAUCUCAAAAGCAUUUACUGAGUGAAAGAAACCAACCCCUUCCCAAAAUUAUAUACUAUAAAGUUCUAUUUACAUGCCAUCAUUUAAAAAAAUAUAAAACUAUAGUGUUGGAGAACUUCUCAGUGGCUAGCAAGGAUUAUAGGAAGAGCCUACCAUUAAGGGGUAGUAUGAGCAAAUUUGGGGGUGUGAUUGACUUGUUCUUUAUAGUUUUUUUUUUUGAUAUAUGACUUGAUGUAUUUGUGAAGUUACUUAGAAUGCCACAAAGGGUAAAUUUUACAGUAUGUAAGUUUAAAAAAACACA